UGGGUAUAAAUAUUUAAAGUGGGGAGAUGGUGGCUGCUUCUUGCUUUCAUUUUAACUUUUCAGCAUUAUUCAAAUAAAAACAGCACAAGACAUCCAAUGUUUCAGGCCAGUCCAAGGGCCUUCCCCUCCAAUUUCCUGCAAAGAUGGGUGCUGGCCAUCUGACCAGGGCUGAGUUGCCCAGUGCUGGAAGAUCAGUGAGGGUUACUCAGGUUUUGGGCAGAUACUGGUCUCUGAAAAGAUGUCCCAGGUGUCCUUUGCUUCCUUGAUUCCUUCCCUGGUACAAAUGUUCACUUAGUGCCUACUCUAUGCCUCUACACCCCUGAGUAAAGAUCAGUCAGGCCUGGGGCUUGGCUUCAGUGGCUGGCUGCCUGCACACCAGGCACAGCUGGUAGGUGGCUUGGUGGAGCUAGAACCUGAGCCUCACAUCUAGGGAGCCCACAUUCUGGUAGCCCCAGACACUUCCAGAGCAGGAGCAUGGGCCCUGCUUCCUUCCCUUGUUCCUGGGAGAGCGGUCUUCACUGGAGGACAAGAA
rnacentral:lncRNA from 1 species